rnacentral:rRNA from 1 species
GGCUCAGGAUGAACGCUAGCUACAGGCUUAACACAUGCAAGUCGAGGGGAAACGACAUCGAAAGCUUGCUUUUGAUGGGCGUCGACCGGCGCACGGGUGAGUAACGCGUAUCCAACCUGCCCAUCACUUGGGAAAUAACCUUGCGAAAGUAAGACUAAUACCCCAAUGAUAUCCAUAGAAGACAUCUGAAAUGGAUUUAAAGAUUUAUCGGUGAUGGAUGGGGAUGCGUCUGAUUAGCUUGUUGCGGGGUAACGGCCCACCAAGGCGACGAUCAGUAGGGGGUUCUGAGAGGAAGGGUCCCCCACAUUGGAACUGAGACACGGUCCAAACUCCUACGGGAGGCAGCAGUGAGGAAUAUUGGUCAAUGGGCGAGAGCCUGAACCAGCCAAGUAGCGUGCAGGACGACGGCCCUAUGGGUUGUAAACUGCUUUAUAAGGGAAUAAAGUGAGUCUCGUGAGACUUUUGCAUGUACCUUAUGAAUAAGGACCGGCUAAUUCCGUG